rnacentral:rRNA from 1 species
GAUGAACGCUGGCGGCGUGCCUAACACAUGCAAGUCGAGCGAACCUUUCGGGGUGAGCGGCGGACGGGUGAGUAACGCGUGGGUAACCUGCCCUGUACACACGGAUAACAUACCGAAAGGUAUGCUAAUACGGGAUAACAUAUGAGAGUCGCAUGGCUUUCAUAUCAAAGCUCCGGCGGUACAGGAUGGACCCGCGUCUGAUUAGCUAGUUGGUAAGGUAACGGCUUACCAAGGCAACGAUCAGUAGCCGACCUGAGAGGGUGAUCGGCCACAGUGGAACUGAGACACGGUCCAAACUCCUCCGGGAGGCAGCAGUGGGGAAUAUUGCACAAUGGGCGAAAGCCUGAUGCAGCAACGCCGCGUGAGCGAUGAAGGCCUUCGGGUCGUAAAGCUCUGUCCUCAAGGAAGAUAAUGACGGUACUUGAGGAGGAAGCCCCGGCUAACUACGUGCCAGCCGCCGCCGUAA